GCUCGCUCUACUCUGCUCAGCUUGCUCUCUGUUCUCCUCUGCAUUAGCCUCCAAAGAAGUCCGCUAAUAUGCAAAUGGCGAUGGUGGGAAAGUCUCAACUCAUCUUCUUGCUGCUGCUCUUUUCAAUCGCACCACAAUUCUCCAUUUCCAGGCCCUUGAAUGGAUGGUUUGACACCGACCUCCAAGCAAUUGACCCAAGCAUAAACGUGGCUCUCCCGAGAGGGGGUCAAAGGAUUCCACCGCUGGUGGAUUCAAUUAACCCAGUUGAUGGUUCUCUGUGCAGCUUCGGUACGGCAGUGAACUCACCGCCAUUAACGUUGUCGAAGCAGAAUCUCGUCGUCCGGAAGCAGACGGCGCCGCUGCUGUGCAACCUCUUAGCCAGAGGAAAGAUGCCGCCGGCGCCUUCUGGCCCAAGUCAGGGAAUCAACGACAAGCACAGUUAGCCAACUCGAUCUGGAGAAGUGUUUUCCUCUUCUUUGAUUUGUUUUACCAAAUUGAGGUCAUUUAUUCCAUGAGUAUACUACGGAAAAUAUAAUGUACGAGCUCAGAUAUACGGAUUUCAGUCCCAACGCUUUGGUCUCAUUAAUGAAUGAUCUACUGAAGUGCAGCAAGAACACGUCAUGAAUGAUCUCAUCUUAAUUGCAUUAUGCUCAUCUUUUUCUAGGAAGAAGCCCAAAGGGCAUUCUAUCAUUACAAAAGGUAUGAAAUUAUACAUGAAGAAAAGGACAAAAAUGAUGAAGGGAAAAAAGAAAAGAGGAGUCAAUGAAACAGAGACAUCUUUCUCAAGACCUGAUAUUUAGCUUGAAACGUGUGAUAUAGUCACCGACACAAAAGCAUACUUGUAUAAGAACAAAUUGGGGUGACAAAUUAAACUAGCCCAAAUGAAGGACAUGAUGCAGACAUCUAAGUGACAAGAGAAGAAUCAUCAUUAUGGUGCCGACCCAGAGGAUAUAACUGGAAACACAACGAACAUUUGUGUUUCCAAUUGGAAACACAACUCGGAUGUUGUGAUCACUUUAAUCGUAUAACUAUUUUUUAUUUUUAGAAUAAUUUUAUAUUUGCUGUUAGGUUAGAAUUACACAUUUGGGCUAUAAGCUAUAUAUAUAUGUGUCUCAAGCAUAUAUCGUUGUUGUUGUUAGUGUUGCUAAUACCAUAAAUUUAAGUUUCGUCUAUCUUUUGUUGAAAAAUAUAGUUUGUGACUAAUGUUCUUGUA
rnacentral:lncRNA from 1 species